AGGUUACUGCUAACGGUGUUCGCCUAAGCCAUGCGAGUCAUAUGUUCUUCGUGAACAUGGCGUACUGCUCAGUAACACGUGGAUAACCUGCCCUUGGGUCCGGCAUAACCCCGGGAAACUGGGGAUAAUUCCGGAUAACGCACAUAUGCUGGAAUGCUUUAUGCGUCAAAUGGAUUCGUCCGCCCAAGGAUGGGUCUGCGGCCUAUCAGGUAGUAGUGGGUGUAAUGUACCUACUAGCCUACGACGGGUACGGGUUGUGAGAGCAAGAGCCCGGAGAUGGAUUCUGAGACAUGAAUCCAGGCCCUACGGGGCGCAGCAGGCGCGAAAACUUUACAAUGCGGGAAACCGUGAUAAGGGGACACCGAGUGCCAGCAUCAUAUGCUGGCUGUCCGGGUGUGUAAAAUACACCUGUUAGCAAGGGCCGGGCAAGACCGGUGCCAGCCGCCGCGGUAACACCGGCGGCCCGAGUGGUGAUCGUGAUUAUUGGGUCUAAAGGGUCCGUAGCCGGUUUGGUCAGUCCUCCGGGAAAUCUGACGGCUUAACCGUUAGGCUUUCGGGGGAUACUGCCAGACUUGGAACCGGGAGAGGUAAGAGGUACUACAGGGGUAGGAGUGAAAUCUUGUAAUCCCUGUGGGACCACCUGUGGCGAAGGCGUCUUACCAGAACGGGUUCGACGGUGAGGGACGAAAGCUGGGGGCACGAACCGGAUUAGAUACCCGGGUAGUCCCAGCCGUAAACGAUGCUCGCUAGGUGUCAGGCAUGGCGCGACCGUGUCUGGUGCCGCAGGGAAGCCGUGAAGCGAGCCACCUGGGGAAGUACGGCCGCAAGGCUGAAACUUAA
rnacentral:rRNA from 1 species